UGGGGAAUAUUGCGCAAUGGAGGAAACUCUGACGCAGCAACGCCGCGUGAAUGAUGAAGGCCUUAGGGUUGUAAAGUUCUGUCUUCUGGGACGAUAAUGACGGUACCAGAGGAGGAAGCCACGGCUAACUACGUGCCAGCAGCCGCGGUAAUACGUAGGUGGCAAGCGUUGUCCGGAUUUACUGGGCGUAAAGGAUGCGUAGGCGGAUAUUUAAGUCAGAUGUGAAAUACCCGGGCUCAACUUGGGUGCUGCAUUUGAAACUGGAUAUCUAGAGUGCGGGAGAGGUAAGUGGAAUUCCUAGUGUAGCGGUGAAAUGCGUAGAGAUUAGGAAGAACACCAGUGGCGAAGGCGACUUACUGGACCGUAACUGACGCUGAGGCAUGAAAGCGUGGGGAGCAAACAG
rnacentral:rRNA from 1 species